GACGAACGCUGGCGGCGUGCCUAAUACAUGCAAGUCGAACGAAGCUGUUUUAACUGGUGCUUGCACCGACUUAAACAACUGAGUGGCGAACGGGUGAGUAACACGUGGGUAACCUGCCCCAAAGCGGGGGAUAACAUUUGGAAACAGAUGCUAAUACCGCAUAAUCACAGAAACCACAUGGUUUCUGUGUCAAAGAUGGUUUCGGCUAUCACUUUGGGAUGGACCCGCGGCGUAUUAGCUAGUUGGUAAGGCAAUGGCUUACCAAGGCAAUGAUAAGUAGCCGAACUGAGAGGUUGAUCGGCCACAUGGGGACUGAGACACGGCCCAAACUCCUACGGGAGGCAGCAGUAGGGAAUCUUCCACAAUGGACGAAAGUCUGAUGGAGCAACGCCGCGUGAGUGAAGAAGGUUUUCGGAUCGUAAAACUCUGUUGUCAGAGAAGAACGUGUGCGAGAGUAACUGUUCGUGCAGUGACGGUAUCUGGCCAGAAAGCCACGGCUAACUACGUGCCAGCCGCCGCAGUAA
rnacentral:rRNA from 1 species